AGGUGUUACAGCUUUUAGAAUUUGUCUAGCAGGUUUUCCCGUCCUCACCAGAAACCCCCC
rnacentral:snRNA from 1 species